rnacentral:SRP_RNA from 1 species
GGGGGGAUCCUGUGCGGCGGAGGCCUGUGAACCCCGUCAGGUCCGAGAGGAAGCAGCGGUAAGCGGAUCCCUCUGGGUGACGCAGGCAAGUCUGUCUCG